GUUUGCAGAACAUUGGCUACAGUAAGAACAUACAUACUCUGCAUCAGAGAGGGUUCAACAUUAACAACAAUGUCUGUAAAAACAGAAUCACAGCUGUCAAGAAGAGUGCUUUCUCCAUGUAUUGUGAAACACAUCCAUCUGGAUUCACCUAUUUAAGCUACAUGCCUAGCCCCCAGAGUCAUCCAGACUUUUAGCAUAAGAACUCAAAUGAAAAAUCAUGAAGAAUGCAUUAACUGAAUCCAACAUCACCUACAGGACCCUGGGCCCAUUGCACUUUGUAAUUGUAUUACUUUUCCUCUAGUAUCUUCAUAGGAUCUUAGGUAUACUCUCUCUGAAAAGUGUUAAAGACAACUUCUCCCUGGGCCUGAGAAUAAACUAUCUUUUUCCUAUCGCUGUA
rnacentral:lncRNA from 1 species